rnacentral:rRNA from 1 species
GACGAACGCUGGCGGCGUGCUUAACACAUGCAAGUCGAACGAAGUGGCGAACGGGUGAGUAACGCGUAAUCAACCUGCCCUUCAGAGGGGGACAACAGUUGGAAACGACUGCUAAUACCGCAUACUGAAGGAGGGGAUUGCGUCUGAUUAGCUAGUUGGGGGGGUAACGGCCCACCAAGGCGAUGGUCAGUAGCCGGUUUGACAGGGUGGACGGGCACAAUGGGAAUGAGAGACGGGUCAGACUCCUGCGGAAGGCAGCAGUGGGGGAUCGUCCGACAUGGGGGAAAGUCUGACGGAGCAACGGCCGGUGAGUGAUGAAGGCCUUCGGGUUGUAAAGCUAUGUUAAUCGGGACGCGUUACCGGAAGAGAAAGCCACGGCUAACUCCGUGCCAGCAGCCGCGGUAAUUC